rnacentral:miRNA from 1 species
AAGAGUUUGAGGGCUUUGAAAG